CUGACCAGUGAGCCGCUGCGGAAUUAACGCUAUAUUUUCAUAAAUAACACCGACAGAACGAUCAUGAGGCGAUAAAUAUCCGCUCCGGUCAGACGCAGGAGAUUGAAGAGGGCAAAGUUCCCAGUGUCACCUGCACUCCCCCCAGCUCACCUGUGUGUGUAGAAGAAGCGUCACAAUCAGGAGAUGGGAAAGCACAAGAAUACCUGUUACCAUAGGACAAUCCCCCCGGAGCAACCUGGAGUUAAGUGUCUUACUCAUGGACACAAUGAUGGUGGCUGUGGGGAUCGAACCAGCAACCUUCUGAUUACAUAGGCACAACACGAGCAGACCUUCAAAGACGAGAAUGACAAUGCCACUUUCAAUAGACCCUCCCCGAUCUGACCCCCCAUGAGGCCUCUGAAGUCACCACCCUCCCUGCAGAAGAGCCCGCCCCUGUGAGACAGACUCCACCCCUCAGGUA